UUCCCAGGCGCAAUUGGUUAGCGCGCGGUACUUAUACAGCAGUAUCUAUCGAGUAAUGCUGAGGCUGAGUUCGAGCCUCACCUGGGAAG